AAGCUCCACGGACUGCCCUUUGCUCCAACUAAUUUUUGGCGAUUUUUUAGUGAUUUUUCGGCGGGGUCCUUUUGGCGUUAAACUCUCGGACAGGUUAUCCGUCUCUCCCGCUAGACGGAUGAGAUCAGGCAUC
rfam:Tupaia chinensis contig6691, whole genome shotgun sequence.